rnacentral:rRNA from 1 species
GAUGAACGCUAGCGGCAGGCCUAAUACAUGCAAGUCGAACGGAUGACCUUCGGGUCAUUAGUGGCGCACGGGUGCGUAACGCGUAAGCAACCUACCUACUACUGGGGGAUAGCCCUGGGAAACCGGGAGUAAACCCGCAUGGUAUCACUGACCUUCCUGGUUUUAUGAUUAAAGAUUUAUUGGUAGUAGAUGGGCUUGCGUUGGAUUAGCUAGAUGGCGGGGUAACGGCCCACCAUGGCGAUGAUCCAUAGGGGCUCUGAGAGGAGCGGCCCCCACACUGGCACUGAGACACGGGCCAGACUCCUACGGGAGGCAGCAGUAGGGAAUAUUGGGCAAUGGACGAAAGUCUGACCCAGCCAUGCCGCGUGCAGGAUGAAGGCGCUCAGCGUUGUAAACUGCUUUUGAUAGGGAAUAACGGCCUUCUUGCGAGAAGGUGUGACGGUACCUACAGAAUAAGCACCGGCUAACUCCGUGCCAGCCGCCGCAGUAACAC